UUUGGUGUUUUGGCCCGGCGCAGUGGUUCACGCCUGUAAUCUCAGCACUUUGCGAGGCCGAGGCGGCGGAUCACCUGAGGUCAGGAGUUGGAGACCAGCCUGGCCAACAUGGUGAAACCCCGUCUCUACUAAAAUAUACAAAAACUAGCCAGGCCUGUUGGCAGGCGACUUAAUCCCGGGUACUUGGGAGGCAGAGGCAGGAGAAUCAUUUGAACCCGGGAGGCAGAGGUUUCAGUGAGCCGAGAUCGAGCCAUUGUGCUUAAACUUGGGGGAUAAGAGCGAGACUUCUCUCAAACAAAAAAAGUUGUUUUGUUUUGUUUUUGUUUGUUUUGCGGCAGGGUCUCACUCUGUCACCGAGGCUGGAGUGCAGUGGCGCGACCUCGGCUCAUUGCAGCCUGUCUCUUGACAGUCCGCGGGUUAAAGCGAUUCUCUUGUCUCAGCCUUCUGAGUAGCUGUGAUUACAGGCGCCCGCUACCACGCCUGGCUAACUUGUGUUUUUAAUAGAGACGGCGUUUCACCGUGUUGGCCAGGCUGGUCUCGAACUCCUGAUCUCAAAUGACCCACCUUUAGUCUCCCAAAGUGCUGGGAUUCCAGGUAUGAGCCACCGCGCUAGGACCCAAGGCCCUUAAGUUUUAAGGCCUCAUUCUUCAGUCAGGUUUUCCUUGUUCCUGUGUGCUCAGCCAAUUGGUUUUGAGUUUGUGUUUAAGGAGAAACUAACAAUGAAAAUGGACUCGAUGAUGGAAGAAAAGCUGGAAUGCAGCCUCUGGUGCUGUUUGAGCGAUCCCUCUCUCCGGGGCCUGGCUGCGCGCUGCUGUGUUCUGGAAAGGCGCAUUGUACCAUAGAUGCGGCAGUGUCUCUCUUCCUACACAUUUCAUUAUUGAGAAAAUGGAUGAAUAGAGAAGCUGAGAGAAGCUAAAUUACUUGCAACAAGUGAGUGACAGACCUGGACAUUGAGUGCAGAGGCCCCUAAUUUGCUACUCUCCCAACUUUCUUGUAACCAACCAUUUGAAUUACUCACAGGAGUAAGAAAAUGGCUUCUCUGCCCAAAAGCAACUCACGAUUCUGCCAAGUGACCUGAAAUGUCAAUACAGAUGAUAUCCGACUUACCCUGGUUUGAAUUAGGAUUUCUUUACUUAUAUGAUGUAUUUAUCAGGACAUAAUUCCAUCCUCAGUGGAAGAGCAUCUGGACUUAAAAUGGUUCAACUUACAACUUUUCAGUUUUACAAUGGGUUUUUCAGGGUAUUAAAUGCAUUUUCAACUUAGGAUAUUUUUGAUUUCCAGUGUAUUUAUUGGGACAUAACCACAUUGUAAGUCUAGAAACAUCUGUCUUAGAAACUUAAAGGCUUUGUUAUCUUCAAAUAUAUCUUAAUGAAAUGUAAGUAUCUUUGAAAAAAUAAUACUUUAGUAAAUAUUCAUCUACAUCCAAUUAUUUUUAAUGGUAUUAGACAUACAAGGAGAGCCAUAGCAAAAAACAAAAAAGGGAU
rnacentral:lncRNA from 1 species